rnacentral:rRNA from 1 species
GUGGGGAAUAUUGGACAAUGGGGGCAACCCUGAUCCAGCGACGCCGCGUGAGUGAUGAAGGCCUUCGGGUCGUAAAGCUCUGUUGCAGGGGAAGAACACAAUGACGGUACCCUGCUAGAAAGGAUCGGCUAACUUCGUGCCAGCAGCCGCGGUAAGACGAGGGAUCCUAGCGUUGUUCGGAAUUAUUGGGCGUAAAGCGGGUGCAGGUGGCUUGGUAAGUCAGAUGUGAAAGCCUGGGGCUUAACCCCAGAAGUGCAUUUGAUACUGCUGAGCUUGAGUGCUGGAGAGGCUAUUAGAAUUCCUGGUGUAGUGGUGAAAUACGUAGAUAUCAGGAGGAAUACCGGAGGCGAAGGCGGAUAGCUGGCCAGACACUGACACUCAGACCCGAAAGCGUGGGGAUCAAACAGGAUUAGAAACCCUAGUAGUCC